AUUGAACGCUGGCGGCAGGCCUAACACAUGCAAGUCGAACGAGUGGCGGACGGGUGAGUAAUGUCUGGGUAACUGACCGAUGGCGGGGGAUAACUCCUGGAAACGGUAGCUAAUACCGCAUACCAUCGGAUGUGCCCAGAUGGGAUUAGCUUGUAGGUGGGGUAACGGCCCACCUAGGCGUCGAUCCGUAGCGGGUCUGAGAGGAUGACCAGCCACACUGGAACUGAGACACGGUCCAGACGCCUACGGUAGGCAGCAGUGGGUAAUAGUGCACAAUGGGGGGAAGCCUUGUUCAGCCAUGCGACGUGUGUGAAGAAGGCCUUCGGGUUGUAAAGUACUGUCAGCGGGGAUGCGGUACCCGCAGAAGAAGCACCGGCUAACUACGUGCCAGCAGCCGCGGUAAUAC
rnacentral:rRNA from 1 species